rnacentral:tRNA from 1 species
GCGUCGGUGGCUCAAUGGUCAAGCACUUGACUUGCAAUCUGCAGGUCAUGGGUUCGAAUCCUGUACCAAUGUG